AGGGUGAGGAUGCCACUUGCAGCCUUGAAAAUGUGCCUUCUGCCAGUGAAUUUCCAACUCGUGCCACUCAGCAUGAUGGAGCCGGAAACAGCCUAAAUACUGUGCCUUCUGCUACCAGUGACAUCCCAACAUGUGACAAUCAGGCCAAUGAAAAUACAUACAAGUCUAUACCAAGUCAUUCUGAAUCAUCUGAUGAUGACGAUGCCCAUGUACCAAAACUGCAAAGAACCAAAAGCUUGUUUAUGAAGUCAACUCUUCCACCCUAUGAGGAUUGGUGUGAAUCGACUCCAGACAGCAGAGACGAGUAUGUUCCGGACUCCUGCGAUGAAAGUAGCAGUUCUCCUUCCGUGAGCAGCACACCUACACCCAGAAAAAAUAGGAAGUCCCUUCCAAGCCAAGCACAGAGUCCAGACAGCACUACUUCCUGUCUUGUACCAGCACCAGCAAAUUUCAAUUUGGAAGGAAAUGAUGAGGAUGAAGAAGUUGCUGAAGGCCAGGAUUUGAUGCCAACAAGCACACCUUCUGUGGUUGUUCAAGUUGUCACAAAGACAAGUGAUGGUUCCAG
ensembl:lncRNA